GACCUCAAGAUUACAGAAGAAG
rnacentral:snRNA from 1 species